GAGUUUGAUCCUGGCUCAGGAUGAACGCUGGCGGCGUGCUUAACACAUGCAAGUCGAGCGAAGCACUUUUUUAGAACUCUUCGGAGGGAAGAGAGGGUGACUUAGCGGCGGACGGGUGAGUAACGCGUGGGCAACCUGCCUUACACAGGGGGAUAACAAUUAGAAAUGAUUGCUAAUACCGCAUAAGACCCCGGUACCGCAUGGUACAGAGGUAAAAACUGAGGUGGUGUAAGAUGGGCCCGCGUCUGAUUAGGUAGUUGGUGGGGUAGAAGCCUACCAAGCCGACGAUCAGUAGCCGACCUGAGAGGGCGACCGGCCACAUUGGGACUGAGACACGGCCCAAACUCCUACGGGAGGCAGCAGUGGGGAAUAUUGCACAAUGGGGGAAACCCUGAUGCAGCGACGCCGCGUGAGUGAGGAAGUAUUUCGGUAUGUAAAGCUCUAUCAGCAGGGAAGAAAAUGACGGUACCUGACUAAGAAGCCCCGGCUAACUACGUGCCAGCAGCCGCGGUAAUACGUAGGGGGCAAGCGUUAUCCGGAUUUACUGGGUGUAAAGGGAGCGUAGACGGAUAAGCAAGUCUGAUGUGAAAAUCCGGGGCCCAACCCCGGAAUUGCAUUGGAAACUGCAUAUCUAGAGUGUCGGAGAGGC
rnacentral:rRNA from 1 species